AGAGCGAACGCUGGCGGCAGGCCUAAUACAUGCAAGUCGAACGGAUCCUUCGGGAUUAGUGGCGGACGGGUGAGUAACACGUGGGAACGUGCCCUUUGGUUCGGAACAACUCAGGGAAACUUGAGCUAAUACCGGAUAAGCCCUUUUGGGGAAAGAUUUAUCGCCAUUGGAGCGGCCCGCGUCUGAUUAGCUAGUUGGUGGGGUAAAGGCCCACCAAGGCUACGAUCAGUAGCUGGUCUGAGAGGAUGAUCAGCCACACUGGGACUGAGACACGGCCCAGACUCCUACGGGAGGCAGCAGUAGGGAAUCUUGCGCAAUGGGCGAAAGCCUGACGCAGCCAUGCCGCGUGAAUGAUGAAGGUCUUAGGAUUGUAAAAUUCUUUCAGCGGGGACGAUAAUGACGGUACCCGCAGGAAGAAGCCCCGGCUAACUUCGUGCCAGCAGCCGC
rnacentral:rRNA from 1 species